rfam:Ornithorhynchus anatinus chromosome X5, whole genome shotgun sequence.
CCCCUUUCAGGAUUGCACCUGGAGAGUUUCCAGUACUCUACCAGUCUCAGGUAUGGAAGGGAGAGUCAAGCAGAGGCAGACCCAUUCCAUUCCUAACUUGGGCAUUGGUUAGCGAGUGGAAGGUAAUCUGCUACAAAU